GCCGGGGUAGCCUAGCCAGGUAUGGCGACAGGUUGCUAACCUGUUGGUCCUUUGGGCCUCCUGGGUUCAAAUCCCAGCCCCGGCGCCA
rnacentral:tRNA from 1 species